ensembl:piRNA 21ur-6507 ncRNA
UUAUUAGAAAACCGGCUCUCA